rnacentral:rRNA from 1 species
CUGCGUGUAAACUUGGCAAAAUCUUUGGCCAUUCCUAUCGUCUGUGGCGACAUAGACCUCGCUGCGGUCCUAAUCAACUUUGGAGGGAUUACAGCAGCGCUGCCCACUACAUACCUUCAUCCAAUCACCAUCGGCAAAGUUAGGCUAGUCCACCUUCAAUUCAUCUUAGAUAGGAUCCGCGCAAGACUUGCAAGAUGGAAGGGGAGACUGAUGCACAUCGCAGGCAUGAGGGUGUUGGUGCGGUGCGUCCUCUCGGCCAUGCCCACUUUCGCCAUGAUGGCCCUGCAGGCGCCAAAGAAGUUCUUCAAGGACAUCAACAAGGCAAGGCGACGGUUCAUCUGGGUGCAAGACGAGGAGGUGACCAGAGGGAAGUGCAAGGUGCUCUAUAGGCUGGUCACCACGCUGGAGCGCACGGGUGGGCUUGGCAUCCACGACCUAGAAAAAUUCGCAAGGGUGUUGCGGCUUUGGUGGCUCUGGCUAUCCUGGAUGCAGCCAGUAUACCCUUGGGUUGGGACGGGUGAGGGAGUCCCGGAUUCGGGGUCCCUCAUGUGUCCGGCCCAGGAGUAUGGGCCGGGGUGGAUGGACUGUACAAGACCAAACUUAAGAUUAUUCUCCGUGUCCGGAUGGGACUUCUCCAUACAUAAACGGCAAUAUCAGAGUCCGGGUGUUUCCUUCCCUUAUGAACCGACCUUGUACAAACCCUAG